rnacentral:misc_RNA from 1 species
GAUGAAGAACGUAGCGAAAUGCGAUAAGUAAUGUGAAUUGCAGAAUUCAGUGAAUCAUCGAAUCUUUGAACGCACAUUGCGCCCGCCAGUAUUCUGGCGGGCAUGCCUGUUCGAGCGUCAUUACAACCCUCAGGCCCCCGGGCCUGGCGUUGGGGAUCGGCGGAAGCCCCCUGCGGGCACAACGCCGUCCCCCAAAUACAGUGGCGGUCCCGCCGCAGCUUCCAUUGCGUAGUAGCUAACACCUCGCAACUGGAGAGCGGCGCGGCCACGCCGUAAAACACCCAUCUUCUGAAUGUUGACCUCGAAUCAGGUAGGAAUACCCGCUGAACUUAAGCAUAUCAAUAAGCGGAGGA